UUUCGCGACCAGCGGCGUCAGGUGCCCCUUCUAGUUCGCUGUAGUCGGGGGGCUCAGGAGCCAGCCAACGACGUCUGCCUGAGGAGCGUCCCGGAGGGUGCCGUUCCCGCAAUCUGCAUAAAGGCAUUUGGAAUGCAUCUAUCAAGCCUCCUACGUUGGCGCGGCUGGCGGUGCCUCUUGGUCUGCUGGGUAUAAGCUCAUGUUACCGUCACCGGUGUGGUUGUGGCAUCAGCAUUAUUCAAGCUCCUUCAUCCGACUCUCACCUCCGAUUCUUGCAUACUGCUUGCACCGAGCCAGCUGGCGCGCAUAUGCCGCAUAUGGACGGGGAGAUUCAAGACUUCAGCGAGAAAUUAUGUAAGCGGCACACAUGCGCAGAUUUGGCCCUGACAAGUGUAGAGUCCUACCAGGCUUUAAAAGCCACCGCAACCUUCUCCGAAGCCAGACACGCUCCAGUCGUAUGGACGAUCAGUACUCCUUAAGACGUCGCGGGCAUCCUCAGCCCACCUGCUUUAACAGAUCGCGGUUACAAUCAUCGACUUCCUGACCGAAGCUGUUACCGACGUCCAUCAGAGGGACACUGCCACUCGUGAUUCGACAUCAUCAUGGCACAACCACAGUUCAGGUGCACCACUGCCAACAGCUACAACAAUCUCGUACGGGGGCCUCCCCGGUCCUUGGAGCAGCGCCAUCUGGUCCACGGUAACCGCGGCUCGUCUACCUACGUCCUCCGCGGGUAUGGCUGCUAUUUCGUGGAACCCACGUUCGUGGAACCCCUACCAAGCGUGCGCGUUUGCGCCGGCUGCUCGGUGGUUCCUGCCAGGGCCGUGCACCUUCCCUGCGGCCACACUUUGAGCGAGAUAUGCGAGUACGACACCUUCAUCCGUCCGACAGCACAGCUGCACCGAGACGCCAGUGCCGUAGCCAGGCACCACGGAGGCCUGUGUCCCAUGGAUGGGACCUGCUUUGCCGAAUCCGUGAUGAAUGCCCCCACCUUCCCCCUGGCACAGCUUGACCGACUGCUCGAUCCGACGUAAGAUCUGCCGCAAUUGUGGACGGGACAACAUCCUGGCGUGUGACACUCGGCAGCAUUGGAGCCGCUGCUCGCCAUUGUAAAGGCGAAUGUCAAAGACGAAUGGA